AUCAUAAUUUACUAUUGUCGUCGAGAUGAUGACAACAUUAUCAUGGGAAGUUUGUAUUCUCCGAACAUCAUCUUUGGAAAAAGAGAUUACACUAUUAAGUCAUUAUUUUUUUGCUGACUCUUCUUCGGAAGUUGCCCCCCAAUCCUUCGAUCGCCCAAAAAUUAUGUUGAUCACUCCCAUCGUUGGCUGAUUAUUGAUCAUCUCCUCAGCUUGUGACUGAGGCUGUUGGUUGGUGGGAGGUUGAGUCGAGCAAUCUCGUUGGAAUUUUUUGAGGUAGCCAUGUC
rnacentral:lncRNA from 1 species